rnacentral:rRNA from 1 species
AAGUCGAGCGAUUCUCUUCGGAGAAGAGCGGCGGACGGGUGAGUAACGCGUGGGUAACCUGCCCUGUACACACGGAUAACAUACCGAAAGGUAUGCUAAUACGAGAUAAUAUACUUUUAUCGCAUGGUAGAAGUAUCAAAGCUUUUGCGGUACAGGAUGGACCCGCGUCUGAUUAGCUAGUUGGUAAGGUAACGGCUUACCAAGGCGACGAUCAGUAGCCGACCUGAGAGGGUGAUCGGCCACAUUGGAACUGAGACACGGUCCAAACUCCUACGGGAGGCAGCAGUGGGGAAUAUUGCACAAUGGGCGAAAGCCUGAUGCAGCAACGCCGCGUGAGCGAUGAAGGCCUUCGGGUCGUAAAGCUCUGUCCUCAAGGAAGAUAAUGACGGUACUUGAGGAGGAAGCCCCGGCUAACUACGUGCCAGCAGCCGCGGUAAUACGUAGGGGGCUAGCGUUAUCCGGAAUUACUGGGCGUAAAGGGUGCGUAGGUGGUUUCUUAAGUCAGAGGUGAAAGGCUACGGCUCAACCGUAGUAAGCCUUUGAAACUGGGAAACUUGAGUGCAGGAGAGGAGAGUGGAAUUCCUAGUGUAGCGGUGAAAUGCGUAGAUAUUAGGAGG